AAGCUGCUGGAAGCCUUUUCUCCACACUGUUGUACUGAGCUGUUCACCUCCACUAGAGGGCCACAUUAUCAAGUAGGCGGUGCACGUCUUCUGCACUGUGUUCAACCAUCCAGUCAAUAAGAAGUGCUGCUGUGAAGAGAACCAUCCUCACACUGAAUGCUGAACAUCAGCUACUUCCUGCUGCUGAUUUAAACCUUGUUGUAGAGAUGGAACAUUGGCUGUGGAUUAUUCUUGCUGCUCUCUCCUUUGAGUGUAAAGGACAAGACACAGUGACCCAGCCAGCAGGAGAUGUCAGCGCUACUGAAGGAGACACAGUUACACUUGACUGCACAUUUCAUAUCAGUGGCACAUAUCCCUAUCUGUUCUGGUACAAACAAGAAGUCAAUGGUUACCCAAAGUACAUGCUGAAGCGUUUCUCAGGAGGUCGAGAUAAAGCUGCAGAGUUCAAGGAAGACAGAUUUGAGGCUACACUCAACAAGACAUCAGUUCCUCUGCAGAUCUCCUCUGCUGCAGUGACAGACUCUGCUGUGUACUACUGUGCUCUGAGGCCCACAGUGACAGGAAACACCACAACUCUGUACACAAACCUCUGGAGCAAAGACAACACAAUACUGCACAGCAUCCACCAGAGAUUCUCUCUGAAAAACUCCAACAGUAUAUUACAAAACAGUGUAGACUCUUUGUGA